GACGAACGCUGGCGGCGUGCUUAACACAUGCAAGUCGAACGGAAAGGCCCUGCUUUUGUGGGGUUCUCGAGUGGCGAACGGGUGAGUAACACGUGAGUAACCUGCCCUUGACUUUGGGAUAACUUCAGGAAACUGGGGCUAAUACCGGAUAGGAUCUCCUGCUGCAUGGUGGGGGUUGGAAAGUUUAGGCGGUUGGGGUUGGACUCGCGGCUUAUGAGCUUGUUGGUGGGGUAGUGGCUUACCCAGGCUUUGACGGGUAGGCGGCCUGAGAGGGUGACCGGCCACAUUGGGACUGAGGGACGGACCAGACGGCAACGGGAGACAGCAGUGGGGAGUAUGGCACAGUGGGCGGGAGCCUGAUGCAGAAACGCCGCGUGCGGGAUGACGGCCUUCGGGUUGUGAAACGCUGUCGCCUGUGACGAAGCGGGAGUGACGGUAAUGGAUAAAGAAGCACCGGCUAACUACGUG
rnacentral:rRNA from 1 species